rnacentral:rRNA from 1 species
AAAUUGAAGAGUUUGAUCAUGGCUCAGAUUGAACGCUGGCGGCAGGCCUAACACAUGCAAGUCGAGCGGAAACGAGUUAUCUGAACCUUCGGGGAACGAUAACGGCGUCGAGCGGCGGACGGGUGAGUAAUGCCUAGGAAAUUGCCCUGAUGUGGGGGAUAACCAUUGGAAACGAUGGCUAAUACCGCAUGAUGCCUACGGGCCAAAGAGGGGGACCUUCGGGCCUCUCGCGUCAGGAUAUGCCUAGGUGGGAUUAGCUAGUUGGUGAGGUAAGGGCUCACCAAGGCGACGAUCCCUAGCUGGUCUGAGAGGAUGAUCAGCCACACUGGAACUGAGACACGGUCCAGACUCCUACGGGAGGCAGCAGUGGGGAAUAUUGCACAAUGGGCGCAAGCCUGAUGCAGCCAUGCCGCGUGUGUGAAGAAGGCCUUCGGGUUGUAAAGCACUUUCAGUCGUGAGGAAGGUGGUGUAGUUAAUAGCUGCAUUAUUUGACGUUAGCGACAGAAGAAGCACCGGCUAACUCCGUGCCAGCAGCCGCGGUAAUACGGAGGGUGCGAGCGUUAAUCGGAAUUACUGGGCGUAAAGCGCAUGCAGGUGGUUUGUUAAGUCAGAUGUGAAAGCCCGGGGCUCAACCUCGGAAUAGCAUUUGAAACUGGCAGACUAGAGUACUGUAGAGGGGGUAGAAUUUCAGGUGUAGCGGUGAAAUGCGUAGAGAUCUGAAGGAAUACCGGUGGCGAAGGCGGCCCCCUGGACAGAUACUGACACUCAGAUGCGAAAGCGUGGGGAGCAAACAGGAUUAGAUACCCUGGUAGUCCACGCCGUAAACGAUGUCUACUUGGAGGUUGUGGCCUUGAGCCGUGGCUUUCGGAGCUAACGCGUUAAGUAGACCGCCUGGGGAGUACGGUCGCAAGAUUAAAACUCAAAUGAAUUGACGGGGGCCCGCACAAGCGGUGGAGCAUGUGGUUUAAUUCGAUGCAACGCGAAGAACCUUACCUACUCUUGACAUCCAGAGAACUUUCCAGAGAUGGAUUGGUGCCUUCGGGAACUCUGAGACAGGUGCUGCAUGGCUGUCGUCAGCUCGUGUUGUGAAAUGUUGGGUUAAGUCCCGCAACGAGCGCAACCCUUAUCCUUGUUUGCCAGCGAGUAAUGUCGGGAACUCCAGGGAGACUGCCGGUGAUAAACCGGAGGAAGGUGGGGACGACGUCAAGUCAUCAUGGCCCUUACGAGUAGGGCUACACACGUGCUACAAUGGCGCAUACAGAGGGCGGCCAACUUGCGAAAGUGAGCGAAUCCCAAAAAGUGCGUCGUAGUCCGGAUUGGAGUCUGCAACUCGACUCCAUGAAGUCGGAAUCGCUAGUAAUCGUGGAUCAGAAUGCCACGGUGAAUACGUUCCCGGGCCUUGUACACACCGCCCGUCACACCAUGGGAGUGGGCUGCAAAAGAAGUAGGUAGUUUAACCUUCGGGGGGACGCUUACCACUUUGUGGUUCAUGACUGGGGUGAAGUCGUAACAAGGUAGCGCUAGGGGAACCUGGCGCUGGAUCACCUCCUUA